GGCAGGAGGUUGGCCCUGAGCAGCAUUUUGGAUUGCCUUCAAAAGGAGGACGUAAACCAAAACCAAAGAACAGCUGCCCUUCUUGGUCUCCUGUGCUACUUUUCAGACGAUUCCUCCAACAUAAUCAGGAAGUGUAAUGCUCAUGGUGAAACCCUCGACGUGAUAAUGAGCGGGAUGGAAGUCGGACUGCUGAUCGGACAUGAAAGCCCUCUGCAGGAUGCAUUCCCUUUAGAGGUCUUCAAUGUGGCUGUGGUAGCAGAGGAAAAGAUCAUCCUAGAUGACAUCAGAGAUGUGCCCACUGGCUUUGCUGUGUUACUGGGCACCAUCUACUGCCUUAACCUUGAGUACCCACAAAAUAUGAGGUACUCCUUUGAGCUCCUGCAGAAGGUCAUCAUGAACAUUAAACCAGACCAAUGCUCUGCAAGAGUCCAAGGACUAAGAAAUAAACUGCUUAGAUAUCGUGUGUAAAAAUUUAACUUGUGUUUAAAUAACACCAAUGUUUUUUUGAUUGUUUACAAUGUUGAGCAUUUUUGUUCUUUGUUCAUAAAGUUUUAUGAACCUGCCUACAACUCUACCUCACCUUCUCCGUGUCUGCAACCUUCUUCCUCCACUCAGUCACUCUGUCUCUCCUCCCCACGACCCCAUCUUCUCUUGCUACAACCCCACUUUCUCCAUCCCCCUCCCAUGUGGUUUGCUAUCUGGUUGUGAAAGCAUGGUGUUAAAAUUUA